rnacentral:rRNA from 1 species
GAUGAACGCUCGCGGCGUGCUUAACACAUGCAAGUCGAACGGCAAGUCUCUUCUCUUUUUUGGUGCUCGAGUGGCGCACGGGUGCGUAACACGUGUGUAACCUGCCCUCGACUUUGGGAUAACUCCCGGAAACUGGGGCUAACACCGGAUAGCAGCUUCUGCUGGAUUGUGGUUGUUGUAAAGCUUCGGCGGGUGGGGGUGGACUCUCGGCUUAAUUGCUUGUUGGUGGGGGAGUGGCCUACCCAGGCGUUGAAGGGUUGCCGGCCUGAGAGGGUGAACGGCGACAUGGGGAAUGAGACAAGGCCAAGAAUCAGAAGGGAGGAAGCGGUGGGGAAUACUGCACUAAGGGAGGAAGCCUGAUGCAGCAACGAAGCGUGCGGGAGGACGAACUUCGGGUUGUAAACCGCUAACACCUGUGACGAAGCGGAAGUGACGGUAACAGGUAAAGAAGCAACGGCUAACUACGUG